rnacentral:rRNA from 1 species
AUGCACGGGCUAUGUGCGCACGAGCAGGGCACGGUCGAUGACCUGGCGCACCUUGGCCCGGCCUUGUACGAGUGCAUGGCGCAUGUGAUCGAAGGAUCUUUUGAGAAGACUGACCGCAGCCUUAGGAAGAUCAGAAAGCUCGCCUCUUUAGUGGACGGGCCACUGCAGCGCCUGUCCAUGAUAAUCGCCGACAGCUUAGCCCGCCGCCUUCUAUGCCCCAUCCAGGGCUUUGCUGCUGCCCUUAUCGAUCCGUCUCGCUACCUCGAGCAGGCCUGCCUCCGGUCUGCCCGCGAGAACUUCGCCAGCAUCAGCCCCUACCUCAGCACUGGCUUUGUCACUAUUAACCGGGCUAUGCUGGAGCAAGUCCAGGAUCAAAAGGUUGUCCGAAUUGUUGACUUGUCCUGCUCAACCACCCACCCGUGGCAGUGGCUCAAGAUUCUUCACGAUUUCCAUGGCCGCCCUGGGGGCCCGCCCGAACUACGUUUAACUGUCGUCCAUGAAGACAGUGAGUUCCUGGACAACAUGCAGGCGCUCCUGUGUAGGCAAGCUGCUAACCUCAAGCUAUGCUUUUAUUUCGACAAGGUGAUUGGCAAACUCGAGACAUUGGACUUCAGCAAUCUCCGUGAGAUCCUGAAAAUAAACUUUGGUGAGGCGGUUGUGAUCAGCUGCGCUCUGCAGAUGCAUCGCCUCCUUGCGGUUGAUGACAGCGUAAGCCGCGACGGCAUUGCUCAGCUCCAGCAAAUGGCAAACAUGGCUCGGCUUAAGCAAAUGGCCUGCUCAGCAUGCAGUCCGGCAUCGACACUGAACUAUCCGCAGACACCAUCCCCUCAACGCCAGAUACCAAGCCUGCUGGUGAGCUUCCUCUCUGCCAUCCGUGCCCUUGAGCCGAAGAUCAUUGUGAUGAUGGAGCAAGACGCGGACCACAAUGCCCCGCUGUUCCACGAUCGGUUCACCAAGACAGUCGACUACUACGCCGCCCUCUUCGAUAGCCUCAAUGCGGUGGAUUCAGCCAGCCCGCAGAGGGCGCGCGUGGAGAGGGUGCUCCUUGGCGAGGAGAUAAAGAAUAUACUGGUAUGCGAGGGGGUCCAAAGGCUUGAGCGGCAUGAGAAGCUGAGCCAGUGGGAAAUGCACAUGCAGCGUUGCGAGGUUGACCAUGUGCCCCUCAGCUUUGAAGCCAUCAGGGAGGGCAAAGAGAGGCUGAUGAGCUACGGAUUGAAACAAUGCAAGAGCGAUGAAGACAAUGCCGACCUUCUGCUGUGCUGGGGUGCAACUCGUCUGUACUCCAUCUCAGCCUGGAGGCCACACAGCUCGAACGCGGCGCCAAAUAAAGUGGCUGUCUAG